UACGUAGGGGGCGAGCGUUGUCCGGAAUUACUGGGCGUAAAGCGUGCGCAGGCGGUUCGUUGUGUCGGCGGUGAAAGCCCCGGGCUCAACCUGGGAAUGGCCGUUGAAACUGGCGAACUGGAGUGUGGCAGAGGGGGGUGGAAUUCCGCGUGUAGCAGUGAAAUGUGUAGAGAUGCGGAGGAACACCGAUGGCGAAGGCAGCCCCCUGGGCUGACACUGACGCUCAGGCACGAAAGCGUGGGGAGCAAACAGG
rnacentral:rRNA from 1 species